GACGAACGCUGGCGGCGUGCUUAACACAUGCAAGUCGAACGGAAAGGCCCUGCUUUUGUGGGGUGCUCGAGUGGCGAACGGGUGAGUAACACGUGAGUAACCUGCCCUUGACUUUGGGAUAACUUCAGGAAACUGGGGCUAAUACCGGAUAGGAGCUCCUGCUGCAUGGUGGGGGUUGGAAAGUUUCGGCGGUUGGGGAUGGACUCGCGGCUUAUCAGCUUGUUGGUGGGGUAGUGGCUUACCAAGGCUUUGACGGGUAGCCGGCCUGAGAGGGUGACCGGCAACAAUGGGACUGAGAUACGGCCCAGAAUCCUACGGGAGGCAGCAGGGGGGAAUAUUGCACAAUGGGCGGAAGCCUGAUGCAGCAACGCCGCGUGCGGGAUGACGGCCUUCGGGUUGUAAACCGCUGUCGCCUGUGACGAAGAGUGAGUGACGGUAAUGGGUAAAGAAGCACCGGCUAACUACGUG
rnacentral:rRNA from 1 species